UACGGGGGGGGCAAGCGUUGUUCGGAAUUACUGGGCGUAAAGGGCUCGUAGGUGGCCAACUAAGUCAGACGUGAAAUCCCUCGGCUUAACCGGGGAACUGCGUCUGAUACUGGAUGGCUCGAGUUCGGGAGAGGGAUGCGGAAUUCCAGGUGUAGCGGUGAAAUGCGUAGAUAUCUGGAGGAACAUCGGUGGCGAAGGCGGCAUCCUGGACCGGUAUUGACGCUGAGGCGCGAAAGCCAGGGGAGCAAACGGG
rnacentral:rRNA from 1 species